GGUGAAGUUCCAGGGGAAGAUUUUAGUAUGCCACAUUUCUAAAAUUUGCAUCCAGGAACAUCAUCCU
ensembl:miRNA MIR4282 microRNA 4282